AAUCCUCGAGAGUGGCGAACGGGUGAGUAAUACAUCGGAACGUGCCCAGUCGUGGGGGAUAACGUAGCGAAAGCUACGCUAAUACCGCAUACGACCCGAGGGUGAAAGCGGGGGACUCGCAAGAGCCUCGCGCGAUUGGAGCGGCCGAUGGCAGAUUAGGUAGUUGGUGGGGUAAAGGCCCACCAAGCCUGCGAUCUGUAGCUGGUCUGAGAGGACGACCAGCCACACUGGGACUGAGACACGGCCCAGACUCCUACGGGAGGCAGCAGUGGGGAAUUUUGGACAAUGGGCGAAAGCCUGAUCCAGCCAUACCGCGUGCGGGAAGAAGGCCUUCGGGUUGUAAACCGCUUUUGUCAGGGAAGAAAUACUUCGGGCUAAUACCCUGGGGUGAUGACGGUACCUGAAGAAUAAGCACCGGCUAACUACGUGCCAGCAGCCGCGGUAAUACGUAGGGUGCAAGCGUUAAUCGGAAUUACUGGGCGUAAAGCGUGCGCAGGCGGUUCUAUAAGACAGACGUGAAAUCCCCGGGCUCAACCUGGGAACUGCAUUUGUGACUGUAGAGCUAGAGUACGGUAGAGGGGGGAUGGAAUUCCGCGUGUAGCAGUGAAAUGCGUAGAUAUGCGGAGGAACACCGAUGGCGAAGGCAAUCCCCUGGACCUGUACUGACGCUCAUGCACG
rnacentral:rRNA from 1 species